AUUGAACGCUAGCGGGAUGCUUUACACAUGCAAGUCGAACGGCAGCGCGAGAAAGCUUGCUUUCUUGGCGGCGAGUGGCGAACGGGUGAGUAAUGUAUCGGAACGUGCCCAGUAGCGGGGGAUAACUGGCCGAAAGGUCAGCUAAUACCGCAUACGCCCUACGGGGGAAAGGGGGGGAUCGCAAGACCUCUCACUAUUGGAGCGGCCGAAAUCGGAUUAGCUAGUUGGUGGGGUAAAGGCCUACCAAGGCGACGAUCCGUAGCUGGUUUGAGAGGACGACCAGCCACACUGGGACUGAGACACGGCCCAGACUCCCACGGGAGGCAGCAGUGGGGAAUUUUGGACAAUGGGGGAAACCCUGAUCCAGCCAUCCCGCGUGUGCGAUGAAGGCCUUCGGGUUGUAAAGCACUUUUGGCAGGGAAGAAACAGCCUGGGCUAAUAUCCCGGGCGACUGACGGUACCUGCAGAAUAAGCACCGGCUAACUACGUGCCAGCAGCCGCCGUAAUAC
rnacentral:rRNA from 1 species